rnacentral:rRNA from 1 species
AUUGAACGCUGGCGGCAUGCCUUACACAUGCAAGUCGAACGGUAACGGGCCUUCGGGUGCCGACGAGUGGCGAACGGGUGAGUAAUACAUCGGAACGUGCCCGAUCGUGGGGGAUAACGAGGCGAAAGCUUUGCUAAUACCGCAUACGAUCUACGGAUGAAAGCAGGGGACCGCAAGGCCUUGCGCGGACGGAGCGGCCGAUGGCAGAUUAGGUAGUUGGUGGGAUAAAAGCUUACCAAGCCGACGAUCUGUAGCUGGUCUGAGAGGAUGAUCAGCCACACUGUGACUGAGACACGGCCCAGACUCCUACGGGAGGCAGCAGUGGGGAAUUUUGGACAAUGGGCGCAAGCCUGAUCCAGCCAUGCCGCGUGCAGGAUGAAGGCCUUCGGGUUGUAAACUGCUUUUGUACGGGACGAAAAGCCUUCUUUUAAUACAGGAGGGUCAUGACGGUACCGUAAGAAUAAGCACCGGCUAACUACGUG